rnacentral:rRNA from 1 species
GACGAACGCUGGCGGCGGGCUUAACACAUGCAAGUCGAACGGAGUGGGGAACGGGUGAGUAACACGUGGGUGAGCUGCCCUGCAAUUGGGGAGAGGACUGGGAAACAGGGGAUAAUACCGGAUAGUGUGGGAUGGGCCCGCGGCCUAUCGGCUUGUUGGGGGGGUAAUGGCCUACCAAGGGGGCGAGGGGUAGCCGGCCUGAGAGGGUGGACGGCCACAUGGUGACUGAGACACGGCCCAGACUGCUACGGGCGGCAGCAGUGGGGAAUAUUGCCCAAUGGUCGGAAGUCUGAUGCGGCGACGCCGCGUGGGGGAUGUCGGCCUUCGGGUUGUACACUCCUUGCACCUUCGACGCGGUAGAUGGAGAAGAAGCACCGGCUAACUCCGUGCCAGCCGCCGCGGUAAUAC